rnacentral:rRNA from 1 species
UACAGAGGGGGCCAGCGUUAUUCGGAAUCAUUGGGCGUAAAGCGCGCGUAGGCGGCUUUGUAAGUUAGAGGUGAAAGCCCGGGGCUCAACCCCGGAACUGCCUUUAAGACUGCAUCGCUUGAAUCCGGGAGAGGUGAGUGGAAUUCCGAGUGUAGAGGUGAAAUUCGUAGAUAUUCGGAAGAACACCAGUGGCGAAGGCGGCUCACUGGACCGGCAUUGACGCUGAGGUGCGAAAGCGUGGGGAGCAAACAGG